CGGCGGCUAUACAUGCAGUCGUGGGGCAGCAUAGGGUAGCAAUACUCUGAUGGCGACCGGCAAACGGGUGAGGAACAUGUACGCAACCUUCCUUUAACUGGAGAAUAGCCCCUCGAAAGAGGGAUUAAUACUCCGUAAUAUGUUGAUAAGGCAUCUUAUUAAUAUAAUAGCUCCGGCGGUUAAAGAUGGGCGUGCACCUGAUUAGAUAGUUGGCGGGGUAAUGGCCCACCAAGUCUGCGAUCAGUAAUUGGUGUGAGAGCACGACCAGUCACACGGGCACUGAGACACGGGCCCGACUCCUACGGGAGGCAGCAGUAAGGAAUAUUGGUCAAUGGACGAAAGUCUGAACCAGCCAUGCCGCGUGGAGGAUUAAGGCCCUCUGGGUUGUAAACUCCUUUUAUCUGGGAAGAAAUGUAUUUUUUCUAAAGUACUUGACGGUACCAGAGGAAUAAGCACCGGCUAACUCCGUGCCAGCAGCCGCGGUAAUACGGAGGGUGCAAGCGUUAUCCGGAUUCACUGGGUUUAAAGGGUGCGUAGGCGGACAGGUAAAUCAGUGGUGAAAUCUCCGAGCUUAACUCGGAAACUGCCGUUGAUACUAU
rnacentral:rRNA from 1 species